AUAGCAGGUUUCAAGAAGUAAGAUAUGCUGUAAGACUGGUAAGUCAUAAACUGCAUAUGCUUCUAAAAGCUUAGAAACCAAGUAAUUUCCCAUAUUUUCUUCUAAUUAUCUAGUUAUAGAGUUUCAUAAAUAAGGUCCUUCAAACC